rnacentral:rRNA from 1 species
AGUGACGUCAAGUCCUCAUGGCCCUAUGGUAGGGCUUCACACGUCAUACAAUGGUCGGUACAGAGGGUUGCCAAGCCGCGAGGCGGAGCCAAUCCCACAAAGCCGAUCGUAGUCCGGAUUGUUCUCUGCAACUCGAGAGCAUGAAGUCGGAAUCGCUAGUAAUCGCAGGUCAGCAUACUGCGGUGAAUACGUUCCCGGGUCUU